GACGAACGCUGGCGGCGUGCUUAACACAUGCAAGUCGAACGGAGCGGCGAACGGGUGAGUAACACGUGGGUGAACUCCCCCGCACUUCGGGGGAAGCCCGGGAACAUGGGGCUAAUACUGGAGAGUGUGGGAUGGGCCCGCGGCCUAUCAGCUUGUUGGGGGGGUAAUGGCCUACCACGGCGGCGACGGGUAGCCGGCCUGGGAGGGUGACCGGCCACAUUGGGACUGGUCUACGGCCCACACUCCUACGGGAGGCAGCAGUGGGGGAUAUUGCACAAUGUGCGAAAGCCUGCUGCAGCGACGCCGCGUGGGGGAUGAAGGCUUUCGGGUUGUAAACCUCUUUCGCUAUCGACGGGGUAGGUGGAGAAGAAGCGCCGGCUAACUACGUGCCAGCAGCCGCGGUAAUUC
rnacentral:rRNA from 1 species